rnacentral:rRNA from 1 species
CAAGUCGAACGAGAAAGUGGAGCAAUCCAUGAGUAAAGUGGCGACCGGGUGAGUAACACGUGACUAACCUACCUCCGAGUGGGGAAUAACUCCGGGAAACCGGGGCUAAUACCGCAUAACAUCGCAAGAUCAAAGCAGCAAUGCGCUUGGAGAGGGGGUCGCGGCUGAUUAGCUAGUUGGCGGGGUAACGGCCCACCAAGGCGAAGAUCGGUAUCCGGCCUGAGAGGGCGCACGGACACACUGGAACUGAAACACGGUCCAGACUCCUACGGGAGGCAGCAGUGGGGAAUUUUGCGCAAUGGGGGAAACCCUGACGCAGCAACGCCGCGUGGAGGAUGAAGCCCUUUGGGGCGUAAACUCCUUUCGACUCGGAAGAUUAUGACGGUACGAGUGGAAGAAGCACCGGCUAACUCUGUGCCAGCAGCCGCGGUAAUACAGAGGGUGCGAGCGUUGUUCGGAAUUAUUGGGCGUAAAGGGCGCGUAGGCGGUGCGGUAAGUCACCUGUGAAAUCUCCUGGCUUAACUGGGAGCCUGCAGGCGAAACUACCGUGCUGGAGUGUGGGAGAGGUGCGUGGAAUUCCCGGUGUAGCGGUGAAAUGCGUAGAUAUCGGGAGGAACACCUGUGGCGAAAGCGGCGCACUGGACCAUAACUGACGCUGAGGCGCGAAAGCUAGGGGAGCAAACAGGAUUAGAUACCCUGGUAGUCCUAGCCCUAAACGAUGAUUGCUUGGUGUAGCAGGUACCCAAUCCUGCUGUGCCGCAGCUAACGCGAUAAGCAAUCCGCCUGGGGAGUACGGUCGCAAGGCUGAAACUCAAAAGGAAUUUGACGGGGGCCCCGCACAAGCGGUGGA